rnacentral:rRNA from 1 species
UGGGGAAUUUUGCGCAAUGGACGAAAGUCUGACGCAGCAACGCCGCGUGGGUGAUGAAGGUCUUCGGACUGUAAAACCCUGUCGUCAGGGACGAAGGUGGGGGCGUUAAUAGCGCUUUCAUUUGACGGUACCUGGAGAGGAAGCCCCGGCUAACUCUGUGCCAGCAGCCGCGGUAAUACAGAGGGGGCAAGCGUUAUUCGGAAUUAUUGGGCGUAAAGGGCGCGUAGGCGGUUUUUUAAGUCAGAUGUGU